rnacentral:lncRNA from 10 species
AGACAUGGGAAUGGGCAUUUUAGAGCCAGAGACCCAGGAGGGAUAAAGCUAUGUGACAUUUUAGAUACAUGGACAACAGAAAGACGGAAUUGGACAAAGAAUGAAAAUGCAGGGAAGAAAUAAAUCAGCAAACAAAACACUGAACGUGAAAUUGGAAAGUGGUUGUAAUGGGAAGGAUGAAGAUGUCCCAAAGGAAGUAACACUGGCAACAACUUUCACAUUAAAGAAACUUUUGGGGAAAUUUUACAAAUUUAAAUACAAAGGGUAAAACACUGGAAGCGAUCCAUACUUAGAAAGGAAUAUGACAAUUCACUAAAGCAAAGC